CCCUUUUGGGUGUGACUGCGUACCUUUUGUAUAAUGGGUCAGCGACUUAUAUUCUGUAGCAAGGUUAACCGCAUAGGGGAGCCGUAGGGAAACCGAGUCUUAACCGGGCGUUAAGUUGCAGGGUAUAGACCCGAAACCCGGUGAUCUAGCCAUGGGCAGGUUGAAGGUUGGGUAACACUAACUGGAGGACCGAACCGACUAAUGUUGAAAAAUUAGCGGAUGACCUGUGGCUGGGGGUGAAAGGCCAAUCAAACCGGGAGAUAGCUGGUUCUCCCCGAAAGCUAUUUAGGUAGCGCCUCGUGAAUUCAUCUCCGGGGGUAGAGCACUGUUUCGGCUAGGGGGCCAUCCCGGCUUACCAACCCGAUGCAAACUGCGAAUACCGGAGAAUGUUAUCACGGGAGACACACGGCGGGUGCUAACGUCCGUCGUGAAGAGGGAAACAACCCAGACCGCCAGCUAAGGUCCCAAAGUCAUGGUUAAGUGGGAAACGAUGUGGGAAGGCCCAGACAGCCAGGAUGUUGGCUUAGAAGCAGCCAUCAUUUAAAGAAAGCGUAAUAGCUCACUGGUCGAGUCGGCCUGCGCGGAAGAUGUAACGGGGCUAAACCAU
rnacentral:rRNA from 1 species